rnacentral:rRNA from 1 species
GAGUUUGAUCGUGGCUCAGGAUGAACGCUGGCGGCGUGCUUAACACAUGCAAGUCGAACGGGGUUAUGAAGUGUGAGGAGUCAGCUUGCUGGUGACGAACAGUUCAUAACUUAGUGGCGGACGGGUGAGUAACGCGUGGGUAACCUGCCAUAUACAGGGGGGAUAACACUUAGAAAUAGGUGCUAAUACCGCAUAAGCGCACGGAGCUGCAUGGCUCAGUGUGAAAAACUCCGGUGGUAUAUGAUGGACCCGCGUCUGAUUAGCUUGUUGGCGGGGUAACGGCCCACCAAGGCGACGAUCAGUAGCCGGCCUGAGAGGGUGGACGGCCACAUUGGGACUGAGACACGGCCCAAACUCCUACGGGAGGCAGCAGUGGGGAAUAUUGGACAAUGGGGGAACCCUGAUCCAGCGACGCCGCGUGAGUGAAGAAGUAUUUCGGUAUGUAAAGCUCUAUCAGCAGGGAAGAAAGAAAUGACGGUACCUGACCAAGAAGCCCCGGCUAACUACGUGCCAGCCGCCG